ACCCGCUGAACUUAAGCAUAUCAAUAAGCGGAGGAAAAGAAACCAACAGGGAUUGCCUCAGUAACGGCGAGUGAAGCGGCAACAGCUCAAAUUUGAAAUCUGGCUCUUUCAGGGCCCGAGUUGUAAUUUGUAGAGGAUGCUUCGGCGUCAGCUCCGGUCUAAGUUCCUUGGAACAGGACGUCAUAGAGGGUGAGAAUCCCGUAUGUGAUCGGUUGCCUUUGCCAUGUGAAGCUCCUUCGACGAGUCGAGUUGUUUGGGAAUGCAGCUCUAAAUGGGAGGUAAAUUUCUUCUAAAGCUAAAUACCGGCCAGAGACCGAUAGCGCACAAGUAGAGUGAUCGAAAGAUGAAAAGCACUUUGGAAAGAGAGUCAAAAAGUACGUGAAAUUGUUGAAAGGAAAAACNCUUGGAAA
rnacentral:rRNA from 1 species